CCCAGACUCCUACGGGAGGCAGCAGUGGGGGAUAUUGCACAAUGGGGGAAACCCUGAUGCAGCGACGCCGCGUGGGCGAAGAAGUAUUUCGGUAUGUAAAGCCCUAUCAGCAGGGAAGAAGAAAUGACGGUACCUGAGUAAGAAGCACCGGCUAAAUACGUGCCAGCAGCCGCGGUAAUACGUAUGGUGCAAGCGUUAUCCGGAUUUACUGGGUGUAAAGGGAGCGCAGGCGGCACGGCAAGCCUGAUGUGAAGGCCCGCGGCCCAACCGCGGGACUGCAUUGGGAACUACCGGGCUGGAGUGCCGGAGAGGUAGGCGGAAUUCCUAGUGUAGCGGUGAAAUGCGUAGAUAUUAGGAGGAACACCAGUGGCGAAGGCGGCCUACUGGACGGUGACUGACGCUGAGGCUCGAAAGCGUGGGGAGCAAACAGGAUUAGAUGCCCGAGUA
rnacentral:rRNA from 1 species